AGGAAUCCUGCUGUGAGUCCCCUGCAGAUUGGGCUCCUCGUGUGUCCUGCUGUACCAGCAUCUGAGUGUUUCAUACAGACCUUUCCCCUUGGAGGAACGAGUGGCUGACUCUAGAGGGAAGAAAAAGAUACUCCCCAUCACAGCUGCAUAUUGAAUAGCUGAGAAUCAAAAUUAGUGGGUUCUUUCUCCUUGAACUCAUCAAAGCUUCACGAGCUUCAGUGGAACUGCACAGGUGUGCAGCAGUAAGAAUAUGACUUGAGAUGGCCACAAGUACAAGCCCUGGUGUUGCCUAUAAUUGGAACAGCACAGAGAAGUCCUCCCAAAAAGGGCCUGAUGAGAGCCCUUCAACAUCUCCUGCCUUAGUCCACAAAGCCUACAUUAAGGAGUAAGGAAUUUUGCUGAUCUGCACACUUAAGAAGCUGUCUUUGUUUCUGAUGUAACACUGGGCAACUCCAGAUUA